CUCGCCCUGGCCGGAGGAACAUCAACAUGGCCCUGCUGGGGACCUCCUCGGGCUGACAUUAUUUACGUUUACCGCUCAUCCCCGCCAUUAAUACGCGCCACAACCUCACAGAAGACAAAAUGGAGAACGUGGACACUUUACAGAAGGAGGUGGAGCGGCUGCACUUGGAGUUGGACCAGACGAGCAGCGAGAAGAAGCAGGCGGCCCAAUAUGGACUGGUCUUGCUGGAGGAGAAGGAGAAUUUACAGCAGCGAUGCGACGACCUGGAGGCGCUCUACGAGAACACCAAGUCGGAACUAGAGAGCACGAGGGAGGCGCUGGCCAAGUUCCAGACGACCCACCGCGUGACGACAGCCAGCGGCAUCGAGACGGAGGAGAGCCUGCUGUCAGAGUCCGCUGCUCGGGAGACGUCGCUCAACUCACAGAUCAUUGAGUUGGAGCUGGAGGCCAAGCAGUGCCGUGCCGAGCUAGAACGCGUGCAGAGCGAGAAGUCCCGCUACUACACUGAGCUUGCCGACCACCUCAAGGAGAAGGACAUAUCAGACCAUGAGAAGAAGCAGCUCAAGGCCGAACUCAAGGACCUCAAGUUCAGAGAGACACGGCUCUUCCAGGACUAUGCCGAGCUGGAGGACGAGAACAUCACACUCCAGAAGCAGAUAUCCAACCUUAAAUCCUCACAGGUGGAGUUCGAGGGCGCCAAACAUGAGAUCCGCAGGCUACAGGAGGAGACGGAGGUGCUCAAUCAACAGGUGGAGGAGCUCGCCAACCUCAAGAAGAUCGCGGAGAGGCAGAUGGAAGAGGCGCUGGAGUCCCUGCAGGCGGAACGUGAGGCCAAGUACGCACUGAAGAAGGAGCUGGACGGACGCAUGAAUUCUGAGUCCAUGUACAACCUCUCGAACCUGGCGAUGAGCAUGAAGCUGUCAGGGAGCACGGACUUCGGCGAGAGCGAUGGCGAGGAUGACACCCCAGUGCUGCGUCGCCUGGAGUCGGAGUUGAUGAGCGCUGGAGGGGGAACGGCCGAGAUGGGGGGUGACCUCUUCUCCGAGAUCCACCUCAACGAACUGCGCAAGCUGGAGAAGAAGCUGGAGGAGGCAGACCACGAGAAGUCCCAGCUCACCACCAACCUGAAGGAGAGUCAGGAAGGUCUGGAGAAGGCACGCGGGGAGCUUGACGCCCAGCACGCCCGGGUCUCGCACCUCCUGGGACACAUCUCGGCACUGGUGAAGCUACAUGAACAGGAGAACCCCAACCAGAUGAACGCAGAGGACUCGGCCAACCUCGUGAGUUUCCUGGAGAAGCAGAAGUCGCGUUACCAGGUUGCAGCGCGGGAGAUCACCGAGCUGAAGAAGAGCCUGGCCGAGAUACAGAAUUCCGACGGGGGCACGGCCAGCGACGCAGUGCAGCAGCUGAGGAACGAAGUGGGGACGCUGAGGGCAAGGCUGAUCGACGCGGAGCAGAAGUCCAUCGACCUCGGGAAUGACGUCAGCAUCCUCAGCCAGAUGAUGAACGGCCGGGAAGGGUCACUCUCCAUCACCAGGAACGACCUUGGCACCAUCAGCGAGGAGUUGGCGCAGCUGUACCACCACGUGUGUACCGUCAAUGGUGAGACUCCCUCCAGGGUUCUCCUCGACCACAGCAAGCAGGGACACACCACGGACAAAGGCGAUGGAGAGAGCACCAAGCCUUCCUCCCCCACCUCAGCCGCCGUGUCCAACCUGGAAGCCCUUCGCUGCAAACUCCGAACAGACGUCACCCUCUCGGACUUUGUUGACAACAGUGACCCAGCGGUGGUGCGUGAGAUUGUUGACACCAUCGUGGACCAGAUCCGGCACCUCAAGAAGUCCGUGGAGCACACCAUUGAGCUCAGCAAGGAGAAGGGGCUCGUCAGGGAGUCUGCGGCGUCCGACAGUGGUCUAAGCGAGAGCGAGGUUCAGGAGCUACAGGAACAGGUCAUCAAACUCAAGUCCCUGCUGUCCACCAAGAGGGAGCAGAUCGCAACACUCCGCACCGUGCUCAAGGCCAACAAACAGACCGCAGAGGUGGCCUUGGCAAACCUCAAGUCCAAGUACGAGACCGAGAAGAGUAUCGUCUCGGAGACCAUGAUGAAGCUGAGGAACGAACUGCGUCUGCUGAAGGAGGACGCUGCCACCUUCUCCAGCCUGCGAGCGAUGUUUGCCGCCCGCUGCGAGGAGUACGUGACCCAGCUGGAUGAGGUGCAGAGACAGCUGGUGGCGGCCGAGGAGGAGAAGAAGACCCUCAACUCCCUCCUGCGUAUGGCUAUCCAGCAGAAGCUCGCCCUCACUCAGCGACUCGAGGACAUGGAGUGCGACAGAGAGAGGUUCAACAUGCGCAAGCACACGGGCAGUCGGGGUCGCGCUCACAGCUCCCGCUUCAACAACCAACCCCACGGCUCCUCCACCCAGCACCACUACCAGCGACGGGACAACUACUAGACCAGCACUCCCCCCAACCCCCCUCGCAUCACCCCCCUUCGUCUCACCCCUCCCGACCCCCCCCUACACACCCCUUUCCAGUCCGUAUAUCGCUAGGUCAGUUCAGUCUUAUUUUGCCUCUUUUGUAGUCUUUCCUAUCCCUUUCACAUUUUUUAUUAGUCCUCCCUGAUUUUAUUUUUCCCAUUUUAUUUUCUCCCACUUGUUCCUUUCAUUUUUCCGGUCAUUUUUGUUACUUUACCGCCAUGCCCUUCUCUGUUUUCCUCCUUUUUUUUAAUCCUCUUUUUUCCUACCCAUCCGCCCCAUCUCAGCUGUUCCCGCCAUUCUUGUUCCACCGUUCCGUGGUCUCACUCCUUGGUUGUAUUUAUUCUUUGCUCCGUCGUGGGUCCAGGCAGUGAGUGAGGUGGACUGGUGUUGGCCAUACUGCGUGUGGUUUUAUUUUAUUUUAGUCUGUACGCAACUGAGUCUGUUUGUGUUCUCCCGGCUGUCUCCUUUCGUCUGUUUUUAAUUUCCUCCUCGGUAGCUAUGCAGCCUUGUCUCAAAGAGUAGUAUUUUUAUGAUGUGUUUGUCCGGCAGAAUCACUUCAUUGACAGAGGGGGCCUCGGCACACCUCCUUAAGUCGUUCUACCUGUGUUUUUAUGGUCACACGGCACCUGAUUGUUUGUGUUCACUGCACGUUGCUCGGGGGAAUUUUAGCGUUAAAUUUGGACACCUGGCAGCACUGUACAGCUUUAUGUAUCUCAGCACUCACUGGGUUUUAUUUAUUUAUUUAUGUCUUGCGUUGUUUGGAAUCUCACAGGCUUCAAGUGGUGGGUGAGCAUCUGUGUUGUGGCGGCCGUGAGCUUGUUGACGGCACUUUGGUUUUUAUCACGUAGCAAAGUUGCGGCCAUUCAGCUUUAUGAGACAACAGAGGCUUUGGCAAUUGGACCAUUUUAAGCAGGCAGUUUCCUUUUAUUGGUGUGUUAUAAUUCUGCCACGGUUCACUGGGGCAGUUUUAAGCUGCAUGAGAUGACAAAAGCUUCACCAAUUUUACGAUUUUAAACGGGGACAAUUUCUCUUUAUUGUUUUGUAUUUGUGUUAUUUUGACGCAGUUCACUUCAGGAGUUUUACCAUAAUAAGUCUGGAUAGUUUUAUUUGUAUUAUAGUGACAUUGUUUUUGCCGGCAGUUUUACUCAAGACACAUACGUUAUUGGCAUUGGUAGUCUGAUACAGUUGACGGUUUUACCAUAAUAAGCCCAGACACUCGUUUUAUUGUCAUCAUCGUUCUGACACGGUUCGGGAAUGUACUUAAACCCGCCAGGCCUCUUGCACCAAAGCCUUCAUCUGUGCACCCAACCAGCAGCUACUUGUGACUAGGGAAGGGAAGGAGUGGCCGAGGAGAGAGCCAGAGAGCAUUGUUGUACUUACCCCACGAAGGCCUUUCUCAUGCUGGCCUUUAUAGUCUUGUAAGGCAGUGAUGGUGGGUAGCAUGUGUUGUGUGUGGCAAUGUGCUGUUCAGGUCCUGUCAGUGCUUAGGUAAGGUUUGGAUUUUUUUAAGGCCUGGUGGUUGUACAGGCAAGCGUUUAUAGUGGUGCCAAGUUGCUUGUCUCAUGCUGCCUCCCAGAGCUCAUUUUUGAUCCUCUUUAGAGAGAAUCUAGAGUCUGGGUUGACAGGUGGUAUUCAGGACAUCAUGUGGGUAGUUUUGGGCCACUUGGUGAUGGUUGAAAAAUUGCCAGCUUGUUUGUAGUGUUGGGUGGGAUGUGAACCUGUGUCCACGCUGACCACUCAUCCACCACCUCCCACACACUGUUACUCAUGCCACCCUCCCAUCAGUGCGCCGAGACUUUUUACUCCAAGGGGAAGGAAGGCAAGUGAGGAGAGAGUGUGUGUGAGACUUGCCUUGCCAUCCACCUGUAUAUUAUUAGUGUGUGUGUGUGUCCCGUGUCCUGUCCCGUCCCUCCCUCCCUCCCUCCAUGCAGUCCCUGUCUGUUAUUAACUCCUGUGUUCUUGUGUGUUAGCCUUUGUGGCCAAUAUUUGGCUGAUAGAGAGAGAGUGUGUGUCUGUAUGUGUGUCUAACCUUGGCUCAUGUUCCGAAACGCUCUGAACUUUUGGUACGGUUAUAUUUUCAAAGACGGCAGGUCGGUUUGGUUCUUCAGGGGUCAGAAUUAUUGUACAACUUAUCAAUAGAGUCUUAUAAUGCCCCAUAAAAGAGGAUUCCAAGCUCUUGUUACAUAUAUAUUUUCAAAGACAUCAGAGGUUGGAUUUGAUCAUGGGUGUUGUUUUCCUCUAAGUGGCAUCAAAUCAUUGUAAAACUUGUCAAUAGAGUCUUAUAAUGCCCCAUAAAAGAGAGGAUUCCAAGCUCUUGUAACAUAUAUAUUUUCAAAGACAUCAGAGGUUGGCUAGAUCAUGGGUGUUGUUUUCCUCUAAGUGGCAUCAAAUCAUUGUAAAACUUGUCAAUAGAGUCUUGUAAGGCCCCCAAAAAGAUAGAUACAAGCAAUAUAGGUCAAAAAGUAAGAAAACGGAACAGCCACGAAAAAUUUGACCUUCCACGCUAGGCUUUCAAACUCGUACAUAGGUCUCGAGACAUUUUAGAACUUGAGCUUGAGUGAGUGAGUGACUGUUCCUCGGUAGCUAUGUUAAGUUUAGCCCUAUUUAACAAACCUCUACUUAACGCAAAUUGGAUUUAUUAUUAUCAUUAUUAUUAUUAUUAUUGGAGUAUUAUAUAAACCUUACCGAACAUUUUUAUAUAAACCAACUUUUUGUUUUAUUUGAUACCUUUUUUGUCAUUGUUUUUAUUAACGUUUGAUACGGCAAUAUUUUUUAAAGAGUCGAGAGUUGAUUUUUAUUUUGGUAAUGCGAUUUUAGCUUCUGUAAAUGAGAUACUAUACAAGGGAAUUCAAUACCUUUUAGUCUUUAUUUCUGUCAUUAUUUCAUACGACAAUUUUUUCUAGCAGUCGAAGGUUAAUUUUUAUUCUGGUAACAUCUAUUAACUUCUGUAUUUUUUAUUUAUUUAUUUAUUUAUUUUUUUUACAUCCCCACCUAUAGCGCCAGAUGGUCGGCCCAAACCUGUCAUGGCGCAGGCAGGUUUUAUAGUGGCGCCAGUUAUGCUUGGCUCAUGCUGCCCCCCGGAACUCAUUCUUGAUUCACUGGACAGCUUCUUCUAGAGUCCGGGUUGAUGGGUGGUCUUCUGGACAGCAUGUGGGUAGUCUUAGGCCACUCGGAGGUGACUGAAAAAUCCCAGGUGGUAGCGUGGGGAUUCAAAUCGACAUUGUCCAUGGCGCAGUGAAUGUGAGCCCAGCACGCUAACCACUCAGCCACCUAAUCAGUAUACUAAUAAGGUUUUGAUAUGUGACGAACUCUUGGAUAUAGUAACCUGAUGUCCCCUCGAUUAGUUUGCCAUAUAGAGAGGGUUUGGGAGUGGGCGAAGCCAUAUCAGUGACGAGAGAGAGAGAGAGAGAGAGAGAGAGAGAGAGAGAGAGAGGCAGCAUUGGUGAUAUAUUCAUAGAUAGCUUUUGAGAAAUAACCCAGUGCCCCAUAAAAGAAGAAGAGGUGCUGUGUUGGUGAUAAACUAGAGACAGAGAGAGAGUUAUUUAGUGUCGCAUAGAGAGAGUGUUGGUGAUAUAUUAAUACUUAGUAGCUUGAAAGACAAUGUUUAGUGCAGUCUAGCGCUUCAGAACGUAAUCAUCUGGCUUGUAUAGGGAAACUGACUUGUUCGUAGAGUGAAAUGGUGGAAAAAGUUUGGGUCAGCUUCUUGUUAUAUUUUGUCAGGACUCUCAGUUGGUGGAGUUAGUUGAGGUUUAGUGUUUUAUAUUACUCCUGAAUUAUGUUUCCCAGUCAUUCUCACCUUCAGAUAAUCAUGUUUCAGUCUUGUUCAGUGAUUGUGUGUGUGUGUGUGUGUGUGUGUGUUUCUUAUGCAAUAUUGUCAGGUCCCUCAUUUACUAGUGUUGGUUGGGUUUAGUGUUGCAUUAUAUCAGCCAUGAAUUAUCUGUUUCCAGGGCAUUUCCACCUCCAGAUUAUUGGUUUUCAGUCCUGUUCAGUGAUGUUACUUGUGUUGUGUUUGUCUAUAUUGAUGCAGCUGGUCAUAGUGAAAGGCAUUGUCACUCUAUAUACCUCCCAAAUCAUCACUUUUCCAGUCGAUUUUCCCUCAAGAUUAUCACGUUUUAGUCCUGUUCAGUGAUGUUGUGUGUGUGUUUCUUAUGCAGUUUCGUCAGGUCUCACAGUUUCUGGUGUUGGUUGAGGAUCAGUGUUUCAUAUUUGUUUUCCAGUCGAUUUUCCCUCAAGAUUAUCGCGUUUUAGUCCUGUUCAGUGAUGUUGCGUGUGUGUUUCUUAUGCAGUUUUGUCAGGUCUCACAGUUGCUGGUGUUGGUCAGGUGAAGCAUUGUAUCAUGUCACUCCUGAAUCAUCUCUUUCCCAGACGUUUUUGCCUUAAGAUUAUUGCGUUUCAGUCUUGUUCAGUGGUGUUGUUUGUGUUGUUACGUGUGUGUUUCUUAUGCAGUUUGUCAGGAGUUGAAGUUAAGUGUUGCGUCAUCUGUUUCUGGGGCAUUUCCACCUCCAGAUUAUUGGUUUUCAGUGUCUAUUCAGUGAUGUUACUUGUGUGUGUUGGUGUGUGUGUUUCUUAUAUAGUUUUUCAGGUAGCACAGUUGUUGGUUGUAUUGGAAAGCUCUCUAUCGCUCUGUUUCACCUCCAGAUGGUCAGCUUUUCAAAUCAAUUGCAUCUCAGGAUUAUCAUUUUUCAGUCUAUAUUCAGUGAUGUUACUUGUGUGUGUAUGUGUGUAUGUUUCUUGUAUAGGUUUUUCAGUGGUAUUGAAAAGCUCCCUGUCACUUUAUUUCACCCCCAAAGUAUUGUUUUCUCAAGGCAUUUUCAUCUCGAGGUCAUUGCGUUUCAGUCAGUUCAGUGAUGUUACUUGUGUGUGUGUGUAUGUGUGUUUCUUGUAUAGUUUUUCAGGUAGCACAGUCGUUGGUUGUAUUGAUGAGUUCUCCGACGCUUUGUUUCGACCCCAAGGUAUCGUUUUCUGAAGGCAUUUUCAUCUCGAGGUCAUUGUGUUUCAGUCUAUUCAGUGAUGUUACUUGUGUGUGUGUGUGUGUAUUUUUCUCAUAUAGUUUUUCAGGUAGCACAGUUGUUGGUUGUAUUGAUGAGUUCUCCGACGCUUUGUUUCGACCCCAAGGUAUCGUUUUCUUCAGGCAUUUUCAUCUCGAGGUCAUUGCGUUUCAGUCAAUUCAGUGAUAUUACGUGUGUGUGUGUGUUUCUUGUUUUUCAGUGGUAUUCAAAAGCUUUCUGUCACUGUUUUGUUCUCGUUUUCUGAAGUCAUUUUCCAGUGGUUCAUUGUAUUGUGCCGUGAGUUCGUGUGUGUGUUUCAGUAGAUACAUCCUUUUUUCCGUCACAGCCAGUGUACAUAUCUCCUUUGUUUUGACGUCCCAGCUUCCUUUCCGUGUCAUUCGGCUCAUCUGUGGACAUUUUCUAGGCAUAACGGUGUUUUUUAAGGGCCGGUGUAUGUGUUAGCCUGCCGGUAGAUAUGCAGGCAACUCACCCUCGACAGUGUGUGUGUGUGUGUGUGUGUGGCGCGGUGCUGCUGCUGUGGUAGGACCCUUGUGGCAUCUCUCAAUGUGUUGCGGCAGUGUAAGUCUUGACUGAUGGUGAGGUGAUGCACACUGGCAAGUAUACUAUGGUGACUCGGUAAGGGACGGGUCAGACUAAGAAUGUAGGGUCGGAAGUGUUGUGCCUUACAGCGGUGUGUGAGAUAUGAGACAUUGUAGCCUGCAAAAGAAAGAGAGAUAGAUAGAAAGAGAGAGAGAGAGAGAGGAGUCCCCUGGCUGCCCACGACAAUGCUAGAGUAUAUAUGUAGAUCACUGUGUUGGAUGACGUAGCACUUGCCGAAAAGAACUGUAUAGCAGAUUGCACUUAUCAUACCACUGAGCAUCCUUGUAUUAUCUCAAGCUUUCAUUUGUCAAGUAUAAGGGAGGGACUGACGAUGCUUAGAGAUAUGCGUGUCGGGAUGAUUUAGUUUGCGCUGAAAAAGUUGUGUAGGAGAUUGUAUUUAUCACACCACUCAGCAGCUUUGUACGUCAUAACACAAGCUUUCAUUUGUCAAGUAUAAGGGAGGGACUGAUGAUGCUUAGAGAUAUGCGUGCGGGGAUGAUUUAGUUUGCGCUGAAAAAGUUGUGUAGGAGAUUGUAUUUAUCACACCACUCAGCAGCUUUGUAAGUCUUAACACAAGCUUUCAUUUGUCAAGUAUAAGGGAGGGACUGACGAUGCUUAGAGAUAUGCGUGUCGGAAUGAUUUAGUUUGCGCUGAAAAAGUUGUGUAGGAGAUUGUAUUUAUCACAUCACUCAGCAGCUUUGUACGUCAUAACACAAGCUUUUAUUUGUCAAGUUAAAGAGGAAAUGACGCCAGGAUAUCGCUGUUUACGGAAAGAUUUUGCACUCGCUGAAGAGAACCGUGUAGGAGAUAGCAUUUAUCACACCACUCAGCAGCUUUGUACGUCAUAACACAAGCUUUUAUUUGUCAAGUUAAAGAGGAAAUGACGCCAGGAUAUCGCUGUUUCCGGAGAGAUUUCGCACUCGCUGAAGAGAACCGUGUAGGAGAUCGCAUUUAUCACACCACUCAGCAGCUUUGUACGUCAUAACACAAGCUUUUAUUUGUCAAGUUAAGAGAAGAAAUGAAGCCAGGAUAUCACUGUUUACGGAGAGAUUUCACACUCGCUGAAGAGAACCGUGUAGGAGAUAGCAUUUAUCACACCACUCAGCAGCUUUGUACGUCAUAACACAAGCUUUUAUUUGUCAAGUUAAAGAGGAAAUGACGCCAGGAUAUCGCUGUUUACGGAGAGAUUUCACACUCGCUGAAAAGAACCGCGUGUCAGGCUGUCUAGUGCACUGUUCCACCAGCAUCAUAUUAUCGCAAGCUUUUAUUUGUCAAGCAUAGAGGAGGUGUUGAUGCUAAGGAAUCAACAUGGUGAAAGGAUUUAGCACAUGCCUGUCACUGGUAGACGUUACAUAUUUAUUGCAAGUGUGAACUCCGAGGGGAAGAGGAGAUGAUCAGUGUUUGACUCCCUCGAAUCUCACCGAUUAAUUUCCUUCACUGUGUUCGUAUAGAGUUCUUAGCCGACAAAACGGUACUUGAUUACAUUCCGUCGCCUGCUUGUCCAGAGAAAUUACGUGUUUAAGCGAUGAGUCCAUUGGUACAGAGGAUUUACGUAUACAAGCGACGACUCCAUUGGUCCAGAGAAAUUAUAUGUACAAGCGCCGACUCCAUUGGUCCAGAGGAAUUACGUAUACAAGCGAUGACUCCAUUGGUCCAGAGGAAUUACGUAUACAAGGACUAAUUCUCCAUUCGUCCAGAAAUUAUGUAUACAAGAACUGACUCCAAUGGUCCAAAAAUCACGUAUAUAAACAUUGAUUCUCCAUUGGUCCAGAAAAAUUGCAUAUAUGACUACUGAUUCUCCAUUUGUCCAGAUUAAUUACGUAUACAAGGACUGACUCUCCGUUGGUCCAGAGAAAUUACGUAUAUUAUAAGCAAUGAUUCCUUUAUGUCACUGAUUGUCCGAGGAACUUUAAAACCACUUCUGUCGCCUGGUUUGUGCAACGAUUCACUUGAUUCCGUCUCCGCGUUUGUCCGUAAAAUUCUAAUAACUAAAAAUUUGUUAAGUCCAUUACGACACUGUCCCAAAAAUUUACAAAACCGAACCCCUUCCGUCACUCUUGUAUGGCCACCAGGUAUGACCCCUUCCUGUGCAUACCUGCCUGGUGGAUCGUCACACCUGUACAUGGUUCGUUAGUGUUACUACAGGUGGGAAACUCGACAGGUGGAGAGAACCAGGUGUUGAGUCCUAUACAGAUGGAAGGGAAAGCUGUGUGUAUGUACGUAUGUGUGUUUGUCCUUCUUAAUGGUAUCGGUCCUUGGAACUUCAUCCCUCCGCAGAGAGAGAGAGAGAGAGAGAGAAGGAGAAUUGCUUACGAAAACGAUAUAGUUACGUACCAGUUAUACCGUAAGUGUUUUAUAAUAUAUAGAUAGAGAGACCAUUUAUAAAAGAAUAUUAGGCGUGCGUGUCUGUGUGUGUGUGUGUGUGUGUGUGUGAUUUCGUAGGUAAUUUAUUCCGCGCUUAAAAAAAAAAUUACUUAGCGGAAAAAAAAGGAGAAAGUUACCAGGAAAUAAUUACGUGUGUGUGUUUGCGAGUUCGUCUUUAUUUCCCUACGACCUUACAAACUAAUUCCAAGUGAGUUCGAAACGAGAAUUACAACCGGACAAGAAAAAUACCGAGAGAAAAUGCCAAGGCUACAUGUCUCCUAAUUCCCGGUCUAUUUCUACACCAUCCAAGAACCAUAAAUUCCCAAUCGAAACCAAGGGAAAAUACCAACAGACAUUCCUACGACUAAUGCUCCCAAAUUCCCAGUCAACUUUUAUGCUAUUGAAAAAAAAUCUGUUAAUGCCCAACUGAGCUGAGUAUUUGUAUUAACCCAAAAAUUUAUGUGGAAUUAUUUAACCCACCAAGAAAGAAAGAAAAAUGCGGAAAUUAUCUCAUUUUUGUACUGCGACGUAAUUCUCAGACCGAAGGAGAAAGAAAGGAAAGGAAAGGAAGGAAAGAAAAAUAUAACCCAACCGACUAAUUUGUAACAGAGACAACCAAAAGAAAGAAAGAAAGAAAGAAAAAGAAAACAUGGUAAUUCUCACUUUUGUACUUAGACGUAAUUCACAAACCAAAAAAGAGCGAACUGAUGGAAAGAAAGGUCAAACAAGCGGUCUAUCUAGAUUCUUAAGGCAGAGAUUGUAAAAGUAUUUGUACAUUAGUGAUAUCAUACUUUACAAUAAAACAAAUAUUUCCU